UACGUAGGGCGCAAGCGUUAUCCGGAAUUAUUGGCGUAAAGAGCUCGUAGGCGGUCUGUCGCGUCUGCUGUGAAAACCUAGGGCUUAACUCUGGGCGUGCAGUGGGUACGGGCAGGCUAGAGUGCGGUAGGGGAGACUGGAAUUCCUGGUGUAGCGGUGAAAUGCGCAGAUAUCAGGAGGAACACCGGUGGCGAAGGCGGGUUUCUGGGCCGUAACUGACGCUGAGGAGCGAAAGCAUGGGGAGCGAACGAGGA
rnacentral:rRNA from 1 species